CCUUAAUUGACAGUGGCCAACUGUUUCAUAAUUUUAGGCUUGUUCUACACUCAUGGGGGUUUCCCACCCCAUCUAUACUUUCAAACUUACUUCCUUAAUUUUCCUUUCAAAUCCAGGAAUGAGAUGGCCCAGAUUUUUUACCCAGUAAAAGCCUUCAUAAGGCAUUUCAAAUAGCAUUUGGAUGUUGGGCAUUAGUGCCUCCUGAAAAUCAUCUGUUUUGUAUAUGUACUGCCUGUAAAUCUAGCACUGCCUUUCAAAGAUUAGCAAUUCCUCAGAAAAAAGUGAGUAAUUUUAUUACCUCAGUCAUUUGGUUUUCAAUACACUACAAAGGUCAAGGAGGAAUCAAUGCUUUAUUGUGCAACAAUACUACUAAAAGUGAAACAGAUAAAUGAAAGCAGAUUACCUGAAUUGUUGUGUACUGAAUGUACUGUAACUGUUGUACGCUGAGAUUCCCCACAGGAAUCUGGUUGGCCACAGUGAAAACAGGAUGCUGGACUAGAUGGACCAUUGACCUGAUCCAGUGGGCUUUUCUUAUGUUCUUAUAUAAACCUUGGUAGCAGACAGCUACUUUAAGAAGUGUGAGCAGAGUCUUGGUGCUGGCUGAGCCUGGUGGCAAGGCACCUACUGUUAUUUUUUAAUGUGGGCUGCCGGCAAGUCCCACAUAAUAGCCAUCAACAUUCCUUCAAUAGACCCUAGGUGGGCAGGGUGCCUGCGGGGGUGCUGCCACUUGGGAUUCCACUGCCUGAGGCAACCUCCUCAGUCCACCUCAUGGGUGAGCCGGCCCUGUGGAAGGGCAAAUUGUGCUUUGAUUUCAGCUACUUUGAAAGGGGGAGAAGGGAUGCUGGAUCCUCCCGUCAACCUCCGGCACAGUGGACAAUCUCAGUGGAGGCAGCCACCAGAUGAGAGAAGGCUACUCAGGAGGCAACUGCAGCUGAUCAGGAGCCUGAACAAGAGGGUGCCCUAUGGGAGCAGGCCCACCUACCCCAUAGGUGCGCACAUUUACAAUCUCAACAUUCUCAUAAAAGCUAGAGAGUCUCAUCAUUAAAAGCUUGGUGGGCAGGCUGUGGUAACUGUUAGGACAUCUUCUUUGAUUCCAUCCAGUUCUGAACAUCUUGCCUGAUCCCUGAACUCCUGAAUUGUGACUCGUGAACUCUGCUUCCAAGCCUGUACAGUUACUUGC